CAAGAAUCCCAAUGAAAACCCAAAAAAACCAAACAAAACCUGCAUUUUAAUUAAAGAGUGACAGAACAAUGACAAAACAAACUUGACAAAAUCCUCCGUUCUCUACUUUCUCUCUGCUUCUAGCGCCUCUGCACAAAAGCCCUCAGUCGCACUCGUCUUUUCUUCUUCUUUCUCCUUAAAAAUCAGACUCCAUUAACGUCUCACUUGGUGUAGCAGCAAAUGCUUCUCUGAUCAGUGUCUGUUUGUACUGUCAUUUCUUCAACUACCUCCUCCAUUAUGUACGCCACUUCCAUUUGCUAAUAUCAAGCACACUCAUUGUUGGCAUUCAUAGCAGAAAUUCUUAGCUUUAAAAUCUCUCGGUCCCCCUUCUUAAGGUUUUAUCUUGUCUCUUCCUUUUCUUAAUUGCUUCCUCUACUCUUUAAGUUUUUUUGCUUUCUGGGUUUGUUUGUUCUUUGCUUUUCUGAACAGAAUCUUAGCUACAUUCUUUGGUUCAUUAAUUUCACUUUUUUGUUCGUUUUCUGUUGUUCUGUCUCAUGGUUCUUGACAAGUUUGCUCAACAGUUUGGCGGUUUUCCUGGAAAAGUGCUCUUUUAUAUAUAAUAUAUGUCGAUAGAACUAUUGUUUCUUGUGUUUCCCUUGUCAUUUAGCUAAGAUUUCAGAUUCUUUCCUCAAAUUUGGUUUAUUAAAAGAGAAGUCAGUAACGGUUUGAUGGGUGUUUAGGUACGGCCAUAGCAUAUUUGAAGCCUAAAUUUUCCUGAAGUCUCUUCUUGGGCUUGUUUGGAUUCAAGGAAAACUUCACUUUUUAUGUGUGGCAGAGUUCUCUUCUAAUGGUUCUGCGUCUUUGUUUCUUGCAUUCAUUUGUCUUCUUGGGGUUUUCUUCACCUCAGUGAAAGUUACGUUCUCGUGCUUGGAAUUAGUCUUCAUUCCUCAAUGUGGCGGUCAAACUGGUUUCUCAUACUAUAUCUUUCAUGGUCUUUAUGUAUCGCUAGCACCCACGAGUUACAAACCCAUCCGCCUCAACUUCUACUACAGCUGUGGAAGCAUUUGGAGUACCCUUCACAAUUGGAUAUUUGGGGAAGUUACAACGGAGACAUCUGCAACCUGUCUUCAACUUUACAUAUGACCGUCGUUUGCGAGGACAAUUUUAUUAUUGAGCUAAAAAUUAAGGGAGAUAAGGUUGUUACGGUCAGUGAGUUCAAUGGAUUUGCAAUUCCUAAUCAGACUUUAUCUGAGAGUUUCUCAAUCGAUUCUUUUGUUACCACACUGACAAGAUUAACCAGCUUGAGGGUUGUUAGCUUAGUGUCUUUGGGGAUAUGGGGGCCACUUCCUGAUAAGAUUCAUAGGCUAUAUUCGCUUGAAGUUUUGGACUUGAGCUCAAAUUUUAUGUUUGGUUCAGUUCCUCCUCAGUUAUCAAGAAUGGUUAAGCUUAAUUCUAUAACAUUAGAUGGGAAUUAUUUCAAUGGAUCUCUCCCCGAUUGGUUGGAUUCGUUGUCUAAUCUCACUGUUCUGAGCUUGAGGAAUAACCGGUUUAAGAGUCAGUUACCUUCAUCAAUAUGCAGAAUCACAACAUUGACUGAUAUUGCCUUGUCUCACAAUCAGCUUACUGGUAAAUUGCCUGAUUUGAGAACCUUAACCAGCCUGCAAAUGUUGGAUUUAAGAGAGAACGAGCUAGAUUCUGACUUACCUGCGAUGCCUGAAGGGUUAAUUACAAUUCUCCUAAGCAAUAACUCCUUCUCAGGAAACAUUCCUUCUCAAUUUGGUCAUUUGAGUAAGCUUCAACAUCUUGAUUUUUCCUUAAAUCAUCUCAGUGGAACACCUCCAUCUUCCUUAUUCUCAUUGCCAAAUAUCAGGUAUUUGAACUUAGCUUCCAACAUUCUCAGUGGAUCCAUUCCAAACAGUCUUAGUUGUGGUAGCAACCUGGGGUUUGUCGAUAUCUCUUCAAACAAGUUAAUCGGUGGGCUUCCCUCUUGCUUGGACGGUAUGUCAAAUAAGAGAGCGGUAAAAUUUGGUGGGAAUUGUUUAUCCGUUGGUUCCCAAAAUCAGCUUCAAGAGUCCUACUGUAAGACAGCCAAUAUAGAGUCAAAGCAAUCAAGAGGUAGAAUGGUAGGAAUAUUAGUCGCAGUCGUUACAGGAACAGUUAUUGUUUUGGUGCUUUUGGCGUUAGGGGUUCUGUUGUUGUGCAGAAGAAAUCGUUCCGGAAGAACAUUUGAACAAAAUAUUUUUUCCAAGGUUGUGCAAGAUAAUUCUACUACUGGAGUUUCCUCUGAAGUUCUUGCAAAUGCCAGAUUCAUUGCUCAAGCAGCCAAGCUAGGCACACAAGGUGCCCCUGCAUGCCGUGUUUUUGCCUUGGAAGAGUUGAUGGAAGCCACAAACAACUUUGAUUCAUCAACAUUUAUGGGUGAAGGCUCUAAUGGAAAGAUUUACAGAGGCAGGUUGGAGAAUGGAACCUAUGUUGCUAUACGGUCUCUGACUUUGUUGAAGAAACACUCCAUUCAAAAUCUUAAACUUCGUCUGGAUUUACUUUCAAAGCUUCAUCAUCCACACUUGGUUGGUCUGGUGGGUUACUGCAUUGACAACAGUGGACAAGAUGAUUCUGUUGGAAUCAAAGUCUUCCUUAUCUAUGAAUAUGUGUCUAAUGGAAAUUAUCAUGCCUAUCUGUCAGAAACUUGCCCAGAGAAAUUCCUUAAGUGGUCAGACAGACUGGUGAUUGUUAUUGGUGUUGCCAAGGCAGUGCAUUUUCUACAUACUGGGGUGAUUCCUGGUACUUUUAACAAUCGACUGAAGACAAAUAAUAUAUUGCUUGAUGAGCAUCGAAUUGGAAAACUGAGUGACUAUGGCCUGGCUGUAAUCACAGAUGAAAUUGAAAAAAUUGAGGUAAAGGGAGAGGCCCCAAAAUCACGGACAAACUUAGAGGAUGAUGUUUACAACUUUGGGUUUAUACUACUCGAAUC
rnacentral:misc_RNA from 1 species